rnacentral:rRNA from 1 species
GACCAAGAGAUAAAGUUAUAUAUGUAGGUUGAAAAGAUAGUUAGGUAGUAUGAAUUAUGUAAUGAUUUUUCAUAAGAAGGUAAAAUUUGAAUAUGAGAAGCUAAUUUUAUUUAUGUAAUUAUACUGAAUCUAUGAUAAUUAUGAGGGAAACUGGGAUUAGAUACCCCAUUAUUCAUAAUUGUAAAUUGAUUAAAUUUACCUGAGUACUAUGAAUUAAAAAUUUAAAACUCAAAGAGCUUGGCGGUGUUUUAGACCUAUUAGGGGAACCUGUCUCGUAAUCGACAAUCCGCGAUAUACCUGGCCUUUUUUAGUGAUCAGUUUGUAUACCGUCGUCGUCAGGUAACUUUUUAAAAAGAAGAAGUUGGCAUUAAUAAUAAUGUGAAUUAAGACGUCAGAUCAAGGUGCAGCUUAUAAAAAGGAGAGGAUGGGUUACAAUUAUAAAGUAGUAAAAUGGACAGUUUAAUGGAAAAAGCUUAAAAGCGGACUUAAAAGUAAUUAUGUAAUAUAUAAAUAUUUUGAAUUAGGCUCUGAAACGUGC